rnacentral:rRNA from 1 species
UACGAAGGGGGCUAGCGUUGCUCGGAAUCACUGGGCGUAAAGCGCGCGCAGGCGGUCCUGUAAGUCGGACGUGAAAGCCCGGGGCUCAACCUCGGAAGUGCGUCUGAUACUGCAGGACUGGAGUACUGGAGAGGAGAGCGGAAUUCCCGGUGUAGAGGUGAAAUUCGUAGAUAUCGGGAGGAACACCAGUGGCGAAGGCGGCUCUCUGGACAGAUACUGACGCUGAGGCGCGAAAGCGUGGGAAGCAAACAGG